UACGUAGGUGGCGAGCGUUAUCCGGAAUUACUGGGCGUAAAGCGCACGCAGGCGGCUCAUUAAGUUUGACGUGAAAUCUGCCGGCUUAACCGGGAGGGGCCGUUGAAAACUGAUAAGCUUGAGGCGAUGAGAGGGGUGUGGAAUUCCCGGUGUAGUGGUGGAAUGCGUAGAUAUCGGGAGGAACACCAGAGGCGAAAGCGACACCCUGGCAUUUGCCUGACGCUGAGAUGCGAAAGCGUGGGGAGCAAACGGG
rnacentral:rRNA from 1 species